rnacentral:lncRNA from 1 species
GUCGAUUUGCAGGCAGUCCGCUUUGUACAAGCCAUGGUAUAGAGGCUUCCUUAUUUACCUCCCUUAUCCUUCAGCUGGAGCUCUGCGAGCCAGAGGCAGCGCUGGCGUUGGAGAGUGAUGGCGGCAUGGCGGUGCGGCGGCGGCUGCGAACACCUUGAGGACGGGUCGCAUUAUGUUGCCCAGGCUGGACUUGAACUUCUGGGCUCGAGCAAUUCUCCCACCUCAGCCUACCAAGCAGCUGGGACUACAGGUCUGCACCACUGCACCCCACCCAUUCAAGUCCACAUCCCCAGAAACGAGGAUAAUGCUUGGCACAAGGUGUUUAUAAUUCCCUUGGUUUUCUUCACAAUUUCACCACAUAAAUGAGGAAAAGUUUGAAUACCUUCAUCUUAGAUUGGCAAGAGAAGGGGGAUAAUAGUCUCACCAAAAGGAAUAGAAGUGUAAGUCCU